UGGUAAAUAAAUGCGCCAUGAACCAGGACGCUAGGUAUUACUUUGAAGGAAAAUUAAAGUUAAAAUAUAAUAGGAUAAAUUCAAACUUAUCAAGUGUUUCCUCGAAGUAAUUCAAGCUUUUUAAUUUGAAGGGAUGUAUCUGUCAAUAUAUUUUCAGAACGAUAGUGAUGUGAAUGAUUGAUCCGCUUCACUAGAAGAAAAAUGAUCUAGACAAAAAUGUCUCUUUGGAGUAUGCUUUACUUUUCUGUUUAUUAUCGUUUCAGUGACUACACAACUAUACACUGGUACUUCUGGGACAUAGUAGCUAUUCAAGAGGUUUAUUCAACGAUUUCAAAACUAAUAUAAUUUCAACUGUGCGGACACUGAUAAAGCGACAAUGCAACUUUUAAUGAAUGACAAGCAUUGUUUUAUUUCUUGGAUGCAUGAAUUUCAUUUAUUCAUCAUUUACAAGAUGGAAUGUAAAGAAAAUAAAAUAAAAGACAAUACUUAUAAUGUCAUGGAUGCGGAUCAUAAACACCAUUUGAAACCUAGACCAAUGGAUUUCUGGUUUGGAAAAUGGCCAGAGAAGAAGCGCUCGGAGUUCUUCGUGUGGCAACCUCUAACCUAUAAGUUCGAGUGUGAUCGGAUAAUUCUUCUGUCACAUGAUCAGAACAAAAAAGUUCUUGAAAUAGAAACAUGUCAACAGUUGAAAGAAUUUGAUUUUCAGCAUUUAUUUGAAUCUUAUAUUAAAGUGUACGCCAAUGCAAUCUUAUGCAAACCGCUGUGCAGUGCAAAAGUCAUCUGGCCAUCUUUAAACUCGGCGUGAAAAAACAAAAACAACAACCGGUAGUUCUGUCAUAUACACCGAGGAAUCAUUCCAUAAGAAGCAAAAGGAAAGCCCGGUGAUUAAGAAUAUUUUACGAUACAAUUUUGACAACUGGGUGCAUGCACUGAUAUAGGUUUUCCUCGAAUCUUAUAUGAAAAGGUUUUGACUAUGUGUCCGUACUAUCUCCUUGCUGACUAAAGAUGUCCAACCUUUGUGUCCUACAUGUUUUGAAGAUAUGGUUGCUGUCCGUAUACAUGUACGUGGAUUUAUCUAACAGUCUACAUGUAUGCGUAAUAAUAUUAGUCAUUUCACACGCAACGGCUAUGUGUAAAAAGCCAGUAAUGAAAUUGCUAUAACCAUAACAAUAUCAACAUUAGCUUUAAGGUUCUACUACAUACACGGAUCCGAGAUUUUGUACUAUUUUCAAUCUGUUUAUUGUAUUGUUGCUGAAAGUUCGAAGGGAACAGUUUUCAUCUCUAAUCAAAUAUAUGCCUAAUUAAGCAUUUAGUCCUUUCCGGUAUUUCUGGUGUCCUUUAAAAGUAGAUGCAUCGACAUCAGUGGCUAGGAUUACAUGUAGGAACAUUUUUUACAAAUCUUCUAAAGACCAUACAAUUUACCCUGGGUCCAGGAUCGAGCCACAAAUGGGGUUCAAAGCUUGACAAUAAUUAUAUAUUGGAAAAGUCUUUUCACAUUUUCUUAAAGAAUAUAAUAACAUGUUUUGAAAAUGUUUUUAAUAACAACAGGGACAAUAUGGCGUAUGUGAACAUUGUGUCCCAUCGUCUCUUGUAUUUUGUUUCUGAUGAUAUUCUAAUUAUUUCCAACAUUAUCGUAAUUAUUGAUGCAUGCGAAUAUAGCCACAUAUUUGAUUUAACAUUUACAUCAAAAUUAAUUUUUUAUAUUGUUAUUACAGUAUGAUAGAUGAUGCUCAACAUCAGCAUGAAUAGUAUAUAUCUCCUAUGUUAUUUAUCUUUCAGGGAAUAUCGCUAUGUACAUAUUCUAUUGUAAAUAGUAAAUUCUGAAAAUAUUUCAUAGCGGGACAAGAAAGAAAAUUGCUGGGCAUUAAACUGUAAUUCGUAUAUUUAAAGUCUAUGUGAUGGAAGAUGUAAAUAUAAACAUUAGAGACAAUUUCUGCAAGAGGUAACCCCCAUCUAGUUUUUUUAGUAUUACACUAUGAUAUUUUUUGCGGAAAACGUUGAUAAAUGCCAUCGUAAAGAGUAAGUUCCAAUAUUGUCUUAUAACACGAGGUAGACCGUAAGCUACUUUUAGGUGAAAGCCUGAAAUUUGUUGUUUUAUAAGUGUUUGUUUACAGUCCUAUUUACCAUCAUAUUCAUAAACACGUCUUAGGGGGCCGGGUUUUAUAUAAAUACAAAGUGCAACGUGUAUGAUAAUGUUUUAGAUAUACUUUUUGUAGAAUAUCUUUAUUUCAAUUACAAAUUGCACGUACUGCAUAUUCCUAGAUGUAACCUAAAACAAAAAUAUUGAAAUACAUUAUAAAGCCUCUGCUACCGGUUGUUCUUGUCCAAGCAUUUUGGGAUUGCAUCUUUUUUAAUAUUUGCAAUUCUCUUUCUGUGUGUGGUGUUUUUCUUCUUCAGAAAUUAUGUGGAGAUGUACAAGUGCCACAAUUAUGCCUGAACAUUUUCAGUAGAACAUUUAUAAUGGAGCUUUUGAAAUUCAUCAUUUUUGUUGUCUUAGGAAUUGAGACUGUGUCUUAUCCACAUCAGAUUACAACACCUCCCGUGGAUGAGAACGAUACUACUACACAAAAGGCAGAGAAUGGCAUAAACUAUGUGGGAACACCUUACCCGGUAACAACACAACAACCAGAUAAAACGACGACACAGCAACUUCAUCAGACUACGACAGAAAAUCAUACAAACACCCCAGCACCACCACAGGCCAUGCCAGAAACACCUGAAAACAACUCAUCGAAUGACAUGUCCGCUAUGUCAGACACGAAGACUCCAACAGAUAACAGUACAAUGACUGUGGCUAUAGGGAGUGUUUUUCUUUUUUUUCUUGUAAUGUUCAUCGCAUUCGUUAUUUUCAUCUUGGUCGCAAUUUAACCGGCCGAUCUUUUUAUGUUGGAUACAUUUAGAGCGCAUGGGUGUAAAUGAGAAUGCUAUUGUGGGUCAGUGGGUGUAAGUGUAUCUACAUGGGGGUCUUAGCGGUGGUAUUUUGCAGACAAACAUAAAAAACAUUUAGUUAUUUUUAUUUAUUAAAAUCAAAUGUGCAUGAAUGUAAAUAGUUUUUUAACCUCUUUCAAUGAUAUUUGAUGCUAUAAAUGCUGAACAUGUUACAUUCCUUGAUUCAUAAAUUUGCAUAAGGUAACACCUUUGUAAUUAACAAGUAUAUCCCACUAGUGGAUUUGACAGGAACGAGGAUCAUCCAGAUAAGCAGUUUACUGUCGCUGGGGGUGCAAUAAGUUAAUAUUGUUUCGUUAGUGAUUGAUUGAUUAUAUAUUGUUUAACGUCCCUCUGGAGAAUAUUUCACUCAUAUGGAGAUGUCACCACAUCCGGUGUUAUAGAGCGAGACUUCUCCCCAUAGUGGGACUUUCCCCCGGACGUCUGCCUCUAGAGUGAGCCUUCCCCUUGGGGAAGUCUGCAGCUCUAGAGUGAGCUUUCCCCCUGCGGAAGUCUGGCUCUAGAUUGGACCUUCCCCCGGUAGUCUUGUUCUAGAGUAAGCCUCCCCCAGCAGACUUACUCUAGAAUAAACCUUACCCCUAGGGGAAGACUCAUUCUAGAGCCAUAAAACUCUCUUGAAGUCUCGUUCUAGAGGGACACCCCCACUUUCAUCCCCUCCUGGGCAAACUAUAAAUAAAUUUUAGCUUAUCGGACAGGGAACCUACCUAUCAACCUAUACCUACCUAUCCACCUCUCUACCUAUAACUACCUACCUGCCUACCUAACUAUACCUGCCUACCUAACUAUACCUACCUACCUACCUACCUAUACCUACCUACCUUUCUACCAUCCUACCUAUUUAUACCAAUCUAUACCUACCUACCUACCUACCUACCUACCUACCUACCUACCUACCUACCUACCUACUUACCUACCUACCUCUCUACCUACCUACCUACCUACCUACCUACCUACCUACCUCUCUACUUACCUCUCUACCUACCUCACAAGUUUAAAAGCAUAGCCGAUAUUUGUACGCAGAUGAGAAGAAACAUAAAUUUGAAAUUUCCUCAUUUCAUUUUUCAAACUUCUAAAACUAACCAAGGCAUAGGUAUUGUGUGAGACAAAACUCAAGGUCUAUGGGUUAAACAAAAUGACUUAUUAAUUCCAAUAUGUCUUAUGCACCGUUUACUUCUUUUGAGUUUAAUGAACGACUUAAGCAAAAUCAUUUAAUGACCUGCUGAAAAAGGUCUUGCUAUCUAAACAAUCUCCAUAAAGUGAUAGUAGUUUACCAGGAAUAAACAAAGGGAGAAGUCCUGCUAUGAGGGGAAGUCUGACUCUAAAACUAGUGAUAGAGUAGGUCUUCCCACGGGGAAGUCUGUCUCUAGAGUGAGACUUCCCCGGGGGGUUCUCCUGCUCUAGAGUGAGCCUUUCCCCAGGGGGAAGGCUCACUCUAGAACAGCCUUCCGGAGGGGGGGGGGGUCCUUCUUAUGGGGGAAGGUAAUGAGAAUACUUAGAAUACCCCCUCCCACGAAAAAACAAAACAAAAACACGGGACACCCUGGACCGAACGUCCAUACUUUAGUGUAGGCCUAGAAGAUAGUUGGCGCCUCGGAUGUUUUUAGUGUCAGCCUUAAAUCCGAAAGCCCUCUGUCACACAGCGUGUCCACGGAAUAUCCUGUUUUGUUUUCAUGGUGUAACAUGGAGUAUGUAUAGUACAUUUUUCUACUAUUGAACUAUUGGUUGCCUAAACUAUAAAGAUAUAUUUUUGAAUAGGCAAAUUAAUUUUUUAAUGAGAUGAUUUUGUUUUCCAACUUGAUUUUGUUAAUUUUCAAAUUCUUUGUAAUCAUAUGUGAAUGAAAGGUGAAGAUAAAGAACAGUGAUCAAUCUCGUAAUUCCUACAAGCAAUUCAAAAUAGAUAGUUGGGCAAACACAGACCCCUGGACACACCAGAGGUGGAAUCAGGUGCCUAGGAGGAGUAAGCAUCCCCUUUCGACCGGUCACACACGCCGUGAGCCCUAUAUCCCGAUUAUGUAAACGGAAUUAUCCGUAGUCAAAAUCAGUGUGCUAACAAUGGCCUAACAAUCGGUAUGAAACACGUCAAACAGCAUUUGACCUAAUGAUAGAUUGCAUUGACGAACUAGAUCGUUAUAACGCGAAAUGCUGACUUCAAUCGAGACUGUUGAAACCCCUGUACCAUCAACUUGUUUGUCAGUAGCUUACCUCGAUUUAAAAACUGACUAUACGCAGAACAAGAUCUUGCAUAUCGAAUCAGUUGAGAUAUAUAAACAUCAUAUGCAGGUGAUAAUGGAAUAUAGCUACAUAAAUAUGGGAAGUUGAUGAUGGAGAAGCUGCAAUCAUCCCGUUUGUCAUACAGUUGAGUUGUACGUUUGCCGUUAAUGUAUACUUUCAAUAAAAUAUCUAAAUAUGAAGCAGAAGUGGACGACUAUGUGGUGACUUUUAUUUCGAGCUCACUGAGAGAUAUCAAAUCGAUAUAUGAAUGAAAGUUAUUAUUGUUAAUAGACAAAACGUCAUCGAUAUAUCAAAAUGUCGAAUUGAAGGCCACAGUGAGAGCUUUUUUCUUCUCAUGUAGAAGUUUUUGAAUAAAGUCUGCUUCAUAUGAAUAUAGAAACAGGUCAGCUAACAAAGGAGCACAAUUCAUGCCCAUGGAGGUUCCAACAGACUGUUGGAAGACCUGAUCACCAAAGACCACGAAAAUAUUGUCAAUGAGGAACUUUAGCAUAUUUUUUGUUUCAAAUUCAGAGUAUUUGUGCGUGGAAUCAGAGUGGUGUUUAAAAAGGUAGGUUUUUGAAUGAUUGAUCACUAGAUAUGAAUAUUUCCGUUUUCCAUUUUUGUUGAAGAAGCAACUGUCUUUGAUGUUAAAAAAUCUAGUCUUUAAUUUAUCGUGAGGAAUGGUCGUGUAUAGUGUUGAAAAGUCAUAGAUUUUAAUUUCAUUGAUUUGGGAAAAGUUCUGCGAUUUCAAGUUUACUAAAAGUUCUUUAGAUUUUUUAAGAUUCCACAUUUGAUUAACGCCACUUCUGACAUAUAACAGACUCUGAACUAUUUUUUUUGUCUAAACUAUUUUUUUCUAAUACAAGAUUAAUGUUUGGAGUGAUUUGAAAGGAAAUAAUGGCUUUUAAUAUUAAAAUCAAUGAAUUUGAGUUAAAUUGUUUUAAAAGUUGUGUAUAAUCACAUUGGUAACGAGAUUCAAAGGAUAUGGUUUAAAGUAUCCAUUCACAAAAAGGACCAGCGAAAGGUGGUAUGGAAACAUCAACAUACUAUCGAUCAUGUUUGUUGCAACUUUUCUCCAUUUCGCAAUUUGUUUCUACGGGAAUUAUAAAUGCACCUGAAAUGGGUAUCUAUGUCAUUGCAUAUUUGGAUCCGAUCAUUAUUAACACACAAUAUGAAUAAACACGAGGAAAUUAAA